rnacentral:tRNA from 1 species
ACGUAGCUCAGCAGGUAGAGCACAUGCCUUUUAAGCAUGGGGUCCCGGGUUCGAAUCCCGGCGUG